rnacentral:lncRNA from 1 species
AAAGACCAGGCCCCCUUGUUAGUUUACAAAAAAAGGGAGCUUCGGAAAUGGAAGUGGAGUCUGUCUUGCUUGCUUUGCUGUUGAUAAAUGCCCUUACGUUUUCGCAGCUUAAUCUGGCAGUUGAGGCGGCUGAGUCUGUUCCUCUAUCACCAUCGGAUGAUUUCUCGAAAGAGUUGAAAGCUUUAUCUAGGAGGAGUCGGCGAAUAACUCCACCAUCACCCAGGAUUAAUGCUCCUGUUCACUUCAAAAGCCCUCCUCCAUCACCUCGACCUCCUCCGCCGCCACGGUCACCACCACCUCCAUGUCUGUGGCGUCCACCUACUGCGUUUGGAUAAGACGAUUGUUUCCCAGGUUACACACAGUUGAUGAAGCUCUCAUGUCAUCAGCUUUUGUUUGUAAAUUGUAAAACUUUAAAGUGCUUGUAUGUUAGCAGCAAAUACCAACUUUGUUUAGCUCUGAUAAUAAUUAAAUUUGUAAUGAUAAAAAUAAUAAUAUGUUAAAUAUAAAAAUGAAUAAAUGUAUGCAUCACUUUCACUUAAACACUCUUUAAGAAAUUGUUUAAUAAGUAUCCCUUGUCUUCCCUUCCCAUCUCUUUGAAGUCUCCCGACCAUCUCUAUAUGUAGCAUAAAUGAUGAGCAGCCCUCCAUCAACGAGGACCCGGGUCCUCAAAGGCCAACUCAAAAAAGCAUCUCAAUCUAAGAGAGGAGGGUAGCCUUUUCAGUGCAGUGCUUUCAGGGUUGAAUGAGCAUCGAGGUCUUUCGAGAUUGGGGUUUUCUCGUAGGAAAAAAAUGAAAAAAUCAUCUUGAUAAUAGUCCUUUUAUAGAUCGGGUGGACAAAGGAAUAGCAAGCCUUUGGAAGGAAGAAAAAGCUAACAUAUGGACGAAGAUCGGGUGAAUGAGAUAAUUCCCAGAUUCAUUUCAAAAACCUCUAGAUUAGCCUUGGCCGAACACAGGUAAACCGUCCAGACCCCACUCAAACCAUAGUCCCCUCAAAGGCCAACUCAAAAACAACAAUCUCUACGUCUAUGGAGCCUGGACUGCAGAAACUGAGAAACCUCCAAUUCCAAGCUCCCUGGUUCGGUGCAACUUGGACUUUCUGGGAAGGGCAUUAAAUACCCAACCAACAUAUUUAUUUUGGCCACUUCACUGUAGAGGGAUCAUGGGUCGAGUUUGUGCCGGGUUCAGAUAAAAUUUUAGGCCCGUUUUAUUAGCCCGGAUCUGACUCGGUCUGGCCCAAAAUAUAGAUAUAAAAAUUUAUCUAAACUUGGCCCGAAAAAAUUAUUAAGCCCGAGCCUGACUCGGCCUAUAUUAAUUUUUUUAACUUAUUUCAUUAAAUAAAAAAUUUAAAACAAAUAUUAAAACAAAAAACAAAUAAAAAAUGAGACUAAAACAAUUCUUAAAACAAUACACAAAUUGAAAAUAUAAUAAAAAGUGAUUAUAUUAAAAUUGAAACAAAUUAGAACUAAAAUAAUAACUAAAUUAAUAAUAAAACAAAAGUAUAUUUGAUUAAAUAUAAAAUAUAUAUAUUUAAUAUAUAAUUCGUGCCAAGCCGGGCCGGGUCUAGCCCAAAAAAAUUUUACCUAAGGCUUAGCCCGUUUUCUAAACGGACCUCAUUUUUUUGGCCUAAACUUAUAUUUUGAACAUAUAUUUUUAUCUAAAUCUUUUUAUUUUUCAAGUAGACUAUCGGACCAGGCUAAAUAACUUAACCCAUGAUCACUUCUACUCCACUUCAGUAAUCAUUUGACUGCAGCCAAACCAAUAUCAAGUUGAUGGGACUGGGGGUCAAAAUUCAUGCACCAAGCAAUCUACGCUGCUAGACCCAAGACCAUUCUUCAGCUUGAUGAGCCCAAUGACCAGAGCCAAUGCUCUACGACUAGCUCCAUGAAACCCAAAAUGCAGCAAGAGACUCAUUGUAACGCCCCACUUUUGUUGUGUUUAGAUUGUUAAAGUAUGUUAAAUAAUUUAAUCUGGUAUGUGGUUAAGCGUCUUAAAUGUUUGUUUUAGGUCUUGACUUUAAUUCUUUUAUUUUGGAUUUUUUAUUAAUUUUGAUGUUAUGUUAAGCUUGACUUUUUAGGCUUAUCUUUUUAUUUUAUUAGAUUGUUGAUAAGGAUGAGCUUAUUAGUCUAGUAAACCGUCCAUUAUUCUCUCACCCCCUUUCACCUUUUUUCUCCCUGUUAUUGUUUUCUAUUUGGUUCUUUCCUCUCUUUUUUCUUUUUUUCCUCUUUGAGCUUUUUUCUUUUCUUUUGCUUUGAAUCUCCGAUUUCGAUUAUAAUCCAAAGAUAACGUAAGUUUUGUUAAAUUAUUUUGUUGUUAUUUUGGUGUUAAUUCGUUGUGCAAGGGUGAAAUUAUUAGUUUAAUCCUUUUAAUAUAUUAUGAUAAAUAUUCUAUUGAUUCUCUUAUCAGAUUAAAGGGAUGUGAAUCGAAACCCUAAAAUUUUUGGACUAUUUAUUUUAUAAUUUUAAAUGAUAAAAAUAUUAUAUUUUUAUAAAGAUAUAUACUAUUCAAAUGAUGAAAUUAUAUUUUAUUUUAUAAAAUUAAAUUUUAAUUUUAACAUUCUUAAAAAUAUUUUCUACCUUCCCCUCUUCCCUUACCGAUCAUAAACAUGGACAUCAAUCCUAAACAUGGACAUCAUAUGGCGAACAAAAUUUAUAUAAAUUUAAAAUUUUUUAAACACGGUUAUGUUUUUCUCCAGGUUUGUCCUAACCUCACUUGGCACCUUUUCCUCUUACAUAUCUUGAAAUAAGGGAUGUAAAAAAUAUGAAAAAAUUGCAACAAAUAGUUUUGAUAGUAUGCUCCGAGUGUAGCAUUUGGUGUCUGCUGGUUAUUAGUGUUUUCUUGUGUGUGUCGACUGUUGGUGUUUCUUAUGGAGGAGGGGUUAGCAGAUCUGCGUUUAACGGAGGAAGAAGACAAUAAGGAGUUGGAAGCUUGGGAGAUUGAACAGAAUAAGGAGAUAGAAGACUCUUUUUCGGAGUUGUGCUUGGUAGGGUGUUUUCUAACAGCAACUCCGAUAAAUUUUUAGGCUAUGCGGACUGUGAUGGCAAAUCUGUGGCAUUCUUUGGGGGGAGUUUCCAUUGCAGAUGUGGGUGAGAAAAGGUUUGUCUUUCAAUUUUAUUGUGAAAUGGAUUUUGAUAGGGUGGUGAAGGGCGCUCCUUGUACUUUUAACAACCAUUUACUUGUUUUUCAUCACUUAAAACAAGGCAAAGAUCCCUUGGAAGUGGAUUUAUUAUAUACCGAGUUCUGGGUUCAAAUUUAUAAUCUGCCACCUAGUUUCUUUACGGAAGCUAUUGCUAAAUAGUUUGGAGAUUUUAUUAGAGCCUUUGUGGAGUACGAUGUCAAAGCGAUUAUGGAGGGAUUAAGAAAUUAUAUGCGGAUUAGAGUUAAAGUUGAUAUCCGGCAAAGUCUGAAGAGAAGAAAGAAACUUAUUAUGGCAAAAAAAGAGUUCUUUACUAAUUUCAAAUAUGAAAGGUUGUCAACAUUUUGUUUUCUGUGUGGCAAGCUCGGACAUAGUGAGAAUUACUGUCCUAUACGAAUGGUGACAGGGAGAAAGGAGCUUCCUCUUGAAUGGGAUAUCUCGCUCAAAGCUCCUCCACGUAGGGCGGCGACGGUAGGCAGUAUUUGGUUAAGGGAACCAACUGAAAUUUGGGGAGUGUAUCAGGGAAUUUCUAAAAAUGAUGAAGGCAAACAAGGAAAGAAUCUGGGGGAAUUAAAUCUAAUGAGGAAUAAUGGAACGAAUUUGGGGUUGAAUUUAUAUGAAAAAUCAAAACAGAUUGUGAAUGAGGAGUUGGUGUUGAUGGAAGUUGGGUCUACUAAAGAGGAUCGGCCCAUUAUUGGAGGAGAGGGGAAAAAGAGGCCUAGACCCAAUAAUAUUCAAAAUGCCUCUACCACCGAUGAUAUGAUGUGGAAAAAUGGGUUAAUGGAGGAUGUUAAUCAAAUCAACCAUACGGCUGAACCUGCAGGGCAGGUCAACCGAGCAUUAUGAAAAUAUUAAGUUGGAACGUCCGUGGGCUGGAGAACCCACGGUCUGUUCAGAAAAUUCAGCAUGUGCUGAAAAAGUACUGUCCCCAAGUUUAUUUUUUUAUGGAGACAAAAGUAGAGAAAUCGAGAAUGGAAAGGAUAAGAAAGAAAUUUGGUUUUGCGAAUGGGGUGGAUAUUUCAGCUCAAGGAUCACGAGGGGGUCUUUCUUUGAGUUGGUGUAGUUCGAUGGAUGUUACCAUCUCAAGUUAUUCUGGGAAUCACAUUGAUGCAGUUAUUGUUAAUAGUGAUGGGGCGACAAAGUGGAGACUAACAGGGUUUUACGGUAUUCCAGAUUAUCAGUGGAGAGAUAUUUCUUGGGACUUGCUAAAGCGGCUGAGCACGAACAAUGAAUUGCCUUUGGUUGUUGUAGGGAUUUUAAUGAGAUUUUAUUUAGUUCUGAGAAACAAGGAGGUCGAUUGAGGGAAGCAAGGCAAAUGGAGGCUUUUCGAUCAGCUUUGGAAGAUUGUGAGCUGGUGGAUAUAGGGUAUUGCGGCCGAUGGUACACGUGGGAAAAGGGGAAUUUUGAGGCAAAUAAUAUAAUAGAGCGGCUUGAUAGGGGAGUGGCUACUUUGGGUUGGACUGAGAUGUUUCCGUUCUCCCGGCUCCUUCACAUUAAUAAUUCAACUUCUGAUCAUUGUCCUCUAUUGUUGGAUACGGAAUUUUCAACAAGUAAUGGUAAUUCUUCAAAUUCAGGGUGUUUAUUUCGCUUUGAAACUGCUUGGUUGUUAGAAGAUUCUUGUCAUGAGUAGGUUAGAUCUUUGUGGGACUCCAAUAAAAAUGUGUUAGUGCCUGAAAGAUUAACACUGAUGGGUGAGGGGCUCCGAAGAUGGGCUAGCCAUUUAAAGAAUGAGAGGGGUGCGAAUAUGAAGAAGCUGUCAGACUAAUUAAAUAAACUGUCUGAGGAAGAUCCUUCAGAUGACAUUCUCGAGGCUAUGAUUAAGACUAAAUUAGAGCUGAAUCUCGAGAUUGAUAAGGAAGAGCUCUAUUGGGAGCAAAGGGCUAGAUCGAAUUGGUUAAGGUAUGAGGAUCGGAACACUAGUUUUUUCCAUAAUCUUGCCUCAAGUAGACGUCGUAAAAAUAAGAUCGCUGGGCUGAAGGACCAAAAUGGGUCCAUCAAAGAUACGGACGAAGAUCUUAUGCGAAUUGCAACCAGUUAUUUUAAAGGACGGUUUGCGAGUGAGGGAAGUAGAGGAGCUCAAAAAUUUUUUGAAGGGGUCCAAAAAAUGAUAACAAUUGAGAUGAAUAGGAUGUUGCUGGAUACUUUCCGGGAGGAUGAAGUUAGGAGGGUGGUCAAGGAGAUGGGGGGAAAUAAAGCUCCCAGUUUUGAUGGCUUCCAUGCAGUGUUUUUUCAAAUAUUUUGGGCGAUUGUAGGCAAGGAUGUUACAAGCUUUUGCCUUAGAGUACUUAAUAGAGAACAACAGCUGAAUGAGGUUAAUUUUACAACGAUUGUUUUAAUCCCUAAAGUCUCAACGCCAGAUUGUAUGACAGAUUUUCGGCCCAUAAACUUAUGUACGGUGCUUUAUAAAAUUAUAGCGAAAGUCAUUGCUAACAGAUUUAAGAGAGUGUUAGAUGGUUGUAUUGAUGAAGCUCAAUGAGCGUUUGUCCCUGGUCGGCUUAUUACGGAUAAUGUCCUUACGGCUUAUGAAAUUAUACACACUUUUAAGAAUAGAAGAAAAUGGAAGAAGGGUUUUUUUGCUUUAAAGCUUGAUAUGAGUAAAGCAUACGACAGAGUUGAAUGGGGAUUUGUCACAGGUAUGAUGAGGAGUAUGGGGUUUGAUGAUAAAUGGGUGGAGUUGAUAAAUCAUUGUAUUUCUUCGGUCUCUUAUGCUGUUACGAUUAACAGAAGCUUGAGUGAGCCUUUUCAACCGAAACGGGGACUCAGACAAGGGGAUCCGUUGAGUCCCUAUUUGUUUCUUAUUUGUACUGAAGGUUUUUCAACAUUACUUAAACUAGCCAAGAGGGAUGGUCUUAUUCAAGGCGCACGUGUUUGUCGGGGGGCCCGAGGGUAACUCUUUUGUUUUUCGCGGAUGAUUACAUUAUCUUUGGAGAAGCAAAUGAGGAUGGCUGCAGGAUAAUGAAGGGAUUUCUUGAUGACUAUGAAAAAGCUUCAGGUCAAAAGAUUAAUUUGGACAAGUCUCAAAUUUUCUUUAGUUCUAACUAUUCUGAAGAAACUAGAGAGCUGUUGACAAAUUAUUUGGGUGUUAGGUCCGUAACGAGCAUGGAAAAGUAUUUGGGUCUGCCUACAAUGGUGGGGAGGAAGAAGAAUGAGGCUUUCCAAAGAUUGUGUGAUAGGCUGAGAACAAGAAUUGAUGGGUGGGGGAGUCGAAUAUUGUCUCAAGGGGGCAAAGAUGUCUUCAUCAAAGCAGUAUUACAGGCCAUACCGAUUUUUUUAAUGUCUUGUUUUUUGCUUCCAAAGUCAUUAUGUGCUGAAAUGGAAAAGAUUAUGAAUCGAUUUUGGUGGGGAAAAGGAGGUAAUAGGCAUGGUUUGCACUGGUCCUGCUGGACUGAUUUAUGUCAGGCUAAAGAGAAUGGGGGUCUAGAGAGAUUACCUGCUGUUAGAGAGGUGGAUAUCGAUCGAUGGAAACCCCCACAAGCUUCAUGGGUAAAAUUGAAUUUUGAUGCAGCCUACAAAGUUCAAUCGAAUAAGUCCCGUUCGGGGUUCAUCAUUAGAAACGAGAAAGGGGAAGUUAUGGGUAGUGGGAUUACUCUUCACUCCAACGUUUUGGAUGCGGGUUUGGCUGAAGCUUUAGCUUGCUAUCAAGGUCUCCUCUUUGCCAAAGAAAUGGGGUUAACAAAAGUAGAGGUUGAAGGAGAUGCACGGGUAGUAAUUGAGAAAAUCAAUCAGGAAGAAAAUGGUAGAGCACAUUUGGACUCGAUUAUAGAAGACAUCAAAGCAUUUGAAAGGUUUUUUCAUCAGAUUAGCGUUAAACAUGUUAGAAGAGAGGUUAAUCGAGUGGCUCAUCUCAUUGCUAGGGAGGGUUACAGUAGAUUAGAAAAUACCUUUUGGAUGGAAGACAUUCCGGCGGUGGCGAAAGAGCUGGUGGCUACUGAAGAGACGAGCAACGUUUUGUAAUCGACAGAAGGUUUUGUUCAAGGGUGUUUGGACUGGGCUGAUAAAUUCAUUGAAAGCCAUGCUUUAGUCACUAGAGAGAUUUACAUGGUGGUCUGGAGCUUUGUUUUACCGGGUUUCCACUUUACUUUUUCUUUUCUAUUGUUGUUUUUUUCAGAUGUUUUUGGUUUCUUUAACUAUUUUGAUUGGGUUUUGUUAGGUUUUAAUGGAAAUCACGGUUUUUAAUCAAAAAAAAUAUGAAAAAAUUGUUCUCUUCAAACUGCAUGCCGUUAAAUUUGGAAGUGCUUGAGGUUUCAUUACGUGUCCAACUGGAGGAAAUAAUAGCAUUAGAUUUUGAAUGGGACAGAAGAGGAAUGCCUACCAUGGAAUUUUGCCUUCUAAAAUUAAACAUACUUGUACUGGAAUGCCUACCUGAAUUGAAAAGUAUUUGCAAUGUUGAUGCAGUGGUGGUUUGUGAAUCCCUUAGAUGGAUUGAUAUAAUAGAUUGUCGGAAAUUAAAAAGGGUGCCUUUUAGUCUUCCCCAAAUCCGAUCAUCUUCACCAACUCUCAUUUUCUAUUUAUGUAGCGAUAGAGGAGUGGUGGAAAUCUGUGAGUAACAUUGGCAUUACUUAUAUUUUCUUGUUUCUAGGCAACUUUGAUGAAUGCAAUUGCAAGCUGUCUUCUUUAUUUGAAUCAAACCUCAUUUCUUUUUUGGUUGUAAUAAGCUUUGGUUAUUGUAUUUUGAUGCUUGUUUAUUGUGUCUUCCUUUUCCAUUCAAUACUUUUCCUUCGUAAUAUUCUAUAUCAACAAGACGAUAUACAUAUUAGAAAAAUUGAGAUAUUUCAAAGGAAUCAAAUAUCAUAUUCUUAAAGAAAGAUUUUGAGAUAUUUGUUUAUAAAUCUUUAUACUUCAUGAGUUAGAGGGAAUCAAGUUGAGAAGGUAGAUUUGUUCAUUAGAUUCAAAAAGUUAUUGUAAUAGAUUUUUGAACCUUUUAGUUUUUAAAAAUAUUUUUUAUUAGAUUUUUUAGAGUCCAAGAAAAAUAAACUUUUUAACUAAUAAAACUUAUAUUUAUCCAAGUUAUAAAUAACUUAAUCGAUUGAAAUUAUUUUUAGUUAAAUCCAAAUUCAUUGAACUAUUUUCAAACUAUUUCACUUACCUUUGCUAUUUUUAGCCAAUAAAAUUCUUAUAUAUAUGGUUGGAAGCCAAUGCAACUUUUGGAUAAAAGCCAAAUUUAUCCUUUAAAAGAUUUUUUUUUUGGAAGAUUCUAGAAUAUAAAAUAAAGAAAUAGGAUAUUAUCUAUAAGACUAGAUAUUAUAUAUGAAUAUUCUAGUUAUUAAAUAUUUGUAAAAUUAAUAGUAAGGAUAUUGACAUGUAUCAACAAUCCAACGGCCACUAAACUCUAUAAAUAGGGGUAAAGGCUUUCAUUCUUGUAAUGAUGUAAGAGAGAAGUGUGUAUCAUAUUAUAAUUGUAUUGUGUAUUAAUAAGAGUGUUUUCUUCUUUUGUAAUUGUAAGUCUCGGUUAAACCUUAAGUUUCUAAGCACUUAGUGCACUUGGAUUAGCUUUUAUAUACAGUGCACUAAUAAGUUAGAAAAUAAAAGAUUAACCGACUUCAGAAAUUUAGUGUAGCAUUAGUUGUAGGUCCGGCGAAAUAUCAUUAAAGACAGUAUCCAACACGUCUCAAGUUAUUCAACUUUUAUUUUUUAUUCUUUAAAUUGAAUAUUUACAAGAAUACAUACCAACACUUUUAAUUCUUUGAUUUCUAUUCAUAUAUAUUUAUAUCAUCCAUAUUUAUUCAUACAUUCAAAGUUGGGAAAGCAGUUGUGAUUUUGUGAGCUUGGAGUCUUAAUUUAAUCCCAACAAAACCUUAACAAAUCAUCAGCAAAUGAGAUUCAGCUACAAUCGAUUGGAUGAUCAAAGAAUAAAAAUUGUUUCUAUAGUUAUACAUCGUAUCGUGAAGAUUCGAGAAUCCUAAAGGAAUAAUUGAUAAGGGAUUAGAUUGGAAAGGGAUUAAUAGAGGAUAUGGGUAACAUGGAAGCAAACUUUGACAACUGUCAGACUAUACUAAGAACAUUAGUUGAUAAUUGAUUGUUAGAAAAUGUAGGAAAUGGAAGAGUGAAAAUGCAUGAUUUUGUAAUAGAUAUGGCUAAACUAAUCACCAAUGAGUUAUAUGAAUCAUGAAUUAACAUUGCAACUUUAACCUAUGUAUAAUUUAGCUCCAACAUUUAUAUUUUUUUAUUAACUAAAAUGAUACAAUAAAUCAAAAACAAUCAAAACUUAAAUUAAUUAAAAUUAACUUUGUAUUUUUUAUUCUUUAAAGACAGUAUCCAACACGUCUCUAGUUAUUCAACUUGUAUUUUUUAUUCUUUAAAUUGAAUAUUUACAAGAAUACAUACCAACACUUUUAAUUCUUUGAUUUAUAUUCAUAUAUAUUUAUAUCAUCCAUAUUUAUUCAUACAUUCAAAGUUGGGAGAGCUGUUGUGAUUUCAUGAGCUUGGAGUAUUAAUUUAAUCCCAACAAAACCUUAACAAAUCAUCAGCAAAUGAGAUUCAGUUACAACUGAUUGGAUGAUCAAAGAAUAAAAAUUGUUUCUAUAGUUACGCACUGUAUCGUGAAGAUUCGAGAAUUCUAAAGGAAUAAUUGAUAAGGGAUUAGAUUGGAAAGGGAUUAAUAGAGGAUGUGGGUAACAUGGAAGCAAACUUUGCCAAGUGUCAGACUAUCCUAAGAACAUUAGUUGAUAGUUGAUUGUUAGAAAAUGUAGGAAAUGGAAGAGUGAAAAUGCAUGAUUUUGUAAUAGAUAUGGCUAAACUAAUCACCAAUGAGGUUUAUGAAUCAUGAAUUAAUAUUGCAACUUUAACCUAUGUAUAAUCAAGCUCCAACAUUUAUAAUUUUUUAUUAACUAAAAUGAUACAAUAAAUCAAAAACAAUCAAAACUUAAAAUAAUUCGAAUUUAAUAAAAAUCAAAAUUAAAAUUAACUUUGUUGAUAUGGUAAUGCAACUAGAAGACAUGGGGAAGGACAUGGUUGUGAUUAUGGAGGUUGGUUCAUCCAGUUGGGAUAGAGAGCCAAAUACUACAAAGAGUGAGAAUGAAGAGAUAUGCAAACAAAGUGUUGAGGGGAACUUUUUUCAUCGUUCUUAGAAGUAUUUAUUGACGGGGUCCUGCAACAGCCCGAUUUUGGGUCUAGUCGGAACAGUAAUUUCAGGACCACAAAUUCGACGAGAAAAAAUCUAAUCGCCUAAAUUUUCAGGGGUGUCGGAACGGUGAUUCGAGAUCACUGAAUCCGACAAGUAAGUAAAAAAUAUUAUUAAUUUAGUGAGUAUAAGUUAAAUGUGAAGUUAAGAAAAUUUUUGAAAUAGUGAAUAGUGCACUAGAAAUAAAUAUUAAAAUAAUUAGAAUAAAAAACGAGGUAUCGAGACCUCAGAGAUUUUAAACCGAGCCAUAAAUGUUUAUAAAAAUAUUUAUGGAGUGUUAAAAAGUUAGUAUUAAAGUUUCGUUAAGAAAUUUUAAAGUUUCGAUAAUUAAUUGAACAAAAAGGACUAAAUUGUAACAAAUCCAAAAUUAUGGUAAAUGAUUAAAUAGCUUAAAUGAUAAAAGGAAGAGGGCUUAAAAGGAAAAUAGACUCAAUGUCUAUUUGGGCUGGACGGCAAAGGCAUGAAAUCAUCAAGAAUGUACGAAGAAUUAAGGGCAAAAUUGGAAUAUUGCAAAAUUACUUAAUAAAGCUAGGAUCAAAGUGGAAUUAUCGAGAUUUCUCUUUAUUUUUCUGCAUUCUCAUCAGCUAAAACAGCAUAGAAGGGUUUUCUUAAGCUGGUUUUUCAUAUUUUUACUGCAAGUAAGUUCAAUUCUUGAUUAUUUCUUGAAAUUGUUGUGUUUUUGUGACUUUUACAACUAGGCCCACUUGUUGAAUUCAUUAGAUUUUGAUUUUAUGAAAGAAGUUGAAAGUUGCUAUGAAUAUGUGCUGGAAGUAUAUGAUGAUUUAGAAUGGAAUUAGAGCUAUCCUCAGAACACUAGUAGAUAAUUGUUUGUUAGAAAAUGUAGGAAAUGAAAGAGUGAAAAUGCAUGAUCUUGUUAGAGAUUUGGCUAAACUUAUCACUCAUAAGUUGUAUGAAUCAUGAAUUAACAUUGCAACUUUAACACAUGUAUUGUUAAGCUCCAACAUUUAUAUUUUAGAUCAAUUAAAAUCAUACAAUAAAAAACAACCAAUCAAAAUUUAAAAUAAUUCAAAUUUAAUAAAAAUAAAACCUAAAAUUAACUUUAUUGAUAUAGAAAUACAAUAAAGAGGAGAUAUGGGAAAGGACAUGGUGGUGAUUUUGGAGGUUGAUUUACCCACUUGAGAGCGGAGAGCUAAGGACUGCAAAGAGUGAGAUUGAAGAGUGCAUAUAGGCAAAAUGUUGAGGGUAAGUUGAUAGAGUAUAUGUUUGUAUGUUUGGAGAGUCAAUCAUUUCUUCAUCGUUCUUGGGGGUAUUUAUUGGAGAGGGUCUUGUGAAGGUUGUUAACAUGCUAAAUUUGCCAUCUAACCAUCAUUACGGAACGUGUGGGGAGGAUGUCUAUGAUGGGAUGAGAAUGCCUGUGAUGAGACAGAUCUUGUUAUUCAUUAUAAUACAAUAGUGCAGAGUAGUUGAGCUCACACGGGAGUUGGUAACCAACAAUAUCACGUUUUUAACAAAAGGCCAAGGGUUCAAAGUAAUGAGUAGUUCUUGUUUGUCUAGAUAGUUAGGACGAGAGAUGAAACUUGGGGCAGCCUUCCAAUUGGUGGUUGGCAAAUUUGUUGCCUAGGUGACCUUCUAACUUGUCACGUGUCCUUAUUCAAGUAGGAGUAUAAUAAACUCAAUUUUUUAAAGAUGUAAAUUAGUUCAAUCUAAGUUAAACAAGUUAAUUAUAAAAAUUAAUUCACAAAACAUUUAUGUUUUAGGAUUAUUUCCCAAGAUAUUUAUGUUUCUUUUUCUUUUUGAAAGGUACUCAGAUGGCCUAUCAAUAAGAACUUUUUGAACUUUAAAUCCUAAUCUAUUUUUUUUAGACACUAAACUUUAAAUUAAAAUAUUUAAUUAACUUUUAAAGAGCCCACUUUUAAAACAAAAAAGCCUAUGAAAUAUUGAAACCUACGCAACAACCCUUUGAAAUAUAAUAAAAAGCCAUGACAUCACAUGCAUACAAAACUUAUAUAAAUUUAAAAUUUUUAAACACAGUUACGAAGUCAUAAAAAUACAAACAGUCUUUUAAUUAAAUAUGGUAGGUGCAUUAAUUAAAUCUCAAUGCCCACCGAAGUUGACUUAAAGGAGUUGAUAUAUAGGAUUGAUAAAUCAGUUUUUAUGGGCUAUUUUACCAAUCUAGCCUAAAAAAAUUUGAUAUUUACAAAAAUGACAUUGAUUCAAAAACAUUUACUAAAAUAACCUGAAAUGUACAGUAAAAUUAAGUUAUGAGAAAUAGAUAGCCGGCACCACUUUUUUCUAUUAAAAAAAUAAUUUUUGAGGUUUUAGACACUAGAUAUGUAACACCCCCUAACCCUAAACCGUCGCCGGAACAGGGUUAUGAGAUAUUACCGGACAUAUCAAAUAAUUUACAAAUAAUUCUUAAAUAAAUAACCAACAUAUUAUAAUAAUUCAAAAAUUCAUAUAAAUUUUACUAAUUGAUUUCAUUCAUUUUUUUUAUAAAAAUUUCGGCAUCAUUUCUGCUUAUUUUUACAUAAAACCCCCUGCAAAAUUUCAAAACAUAACUAACCCAAUUCCAAUAUUUCAAUCAAGGCAUUUAUAUACUUAAACCUUACUUGACAUAUUGACAUAACAACUUAAUUAAUAAAAAUCCUAUUAUCAUUUCUAAUUAACUCAUAAAACUAAUCAAGUCAUUUCAAUUCGAGACCAAUGCCAUAAAAGACUUCUACUAUUUUACUAAUAUAAUCAUCAAAACACAUAAUAUCUUACUUUACAACAAAACUAUAUAACAUACCAAAAUAACUAUUAUAAUUCUUAUGUACAUGCCACUUUCAUUUAAUGAAGAAAACAUCAUCGAAAUCUCUAUGCAGGAGUUGAGAUUGACCUGGAUGCUAAAUCGAGACUCAGACCCCUUUUUCAACCCGCGCACAGAAACAACCAUACGCUGAGUAUUUUACACUCAGUGGUAUUACCAUAAUUCAAAUUAUAAUAGCAAUAAAGAAUUAUAAUUACGAAGCAUGUAACUAUCCGAUUUCUUAAAUAUCAAUUAAUUCAUAAACUUUCAUUAUUUAACAAUAGCAAUACAAUUUUUUUUAGCUAUUCUUCAUUCUCAAUCACAUAUCACAUGUAGCAAUUUCAAUCACUACAUAAACAUUAAAUUCAUGCAUUUUAUUUUCAAUAUCAAUUUCAAUCUGAAAUUUUAAAUUUUCUCAUAUUCAAUACCACAAUCGAUCAAAUUCAUUUAAUUUUCUCAUUUCAAUUAUUCACCCUAUUAACAAUCUGGACUUUGACGGAUACAUGGAUUCCAACCCAAACACACUAGUACAGCACAUUGUGCCUAAAACGGUACAUAGUACCUGAUCAGUAUACGACACAUAAGUGCCUGAAACGACACACGAGGUGCCUGAUACGACACAUAAAGUGCCUGAUCGGCAAAGCCGAUAAAUCCCGUACUCUUCCAAAUCCUAUGGCAUGCCAACUAUAUCCGACUUAGCCCGACUAGUUAAUAGGGUAUUCAAAUUCUCAAUUCUCUUUGAUUUUCAAUUCAAGAUCACUUUUCCACUUUCUAAUCAAUUAACAAUUUAAUAUCAAUACAUAUUUCAAAUAAUCACAUAUAAUCAUAUUUCAAUUCAAUUCAAACCACUUUUCAAUCAUUACACAAUUCACAUAUUCACACAUAUUCAUAAAUUAAUUCACUUUAUUUAAUUCAUUUUUUAAAUCCAUUUUUUAAUCAAAUUCAAAUCACUAAAUACUUUUUAAUCAAUAUACAUUUCAAAUACUCACAUAUUUCCAUCAUUCAAUUUAAUUUGAUUCAAUUCAAGUCACUAUUAUCAUUCCAAUUGCUUACCUAAUUUUACUUACCAUGCAUUUUAAUUAAAAUAUAACAAUUAAUAAUAAAUAGAUUUGAAUUAUAGUAAUACAAACCCGAAUUUGCUCGAUUAUUCCUCAACGACCUUCUUCUUCCCUUUUUGUGGCGAUACCUCGAAUUAUUUAUUAGCUACGAAAAUUAAAUAAUUAAAUAAUUAAUUACAGCACAAAUUUUACAAUAAAAAUAAAAUUUCUAUCAAAUUUUAUACUUUAAUUCCAAUUUAAUCCUAACUAGAUUUAUCUACUUUUCUAAUCUAAUUCAUACUCUAUUUCUAUUCAAAUUUCUUAUAAACUCAAAUUUAUCUACUAAUUUUCAGCAUUUUUCACUAAUUUUGAAUUUUCCUCAAUUUAAUCCCUAAAAUUCAAAACUUAUAGUUUAGUUUACAAUUCAAUCCUUUAUUCAAUUCCAAAUAAAAUUUCUAUUAAAUAAAUCCUCAAUUCCAUCAUUUAUUCAACAUAAACCCUACUCAAAAAUCUAUUAACUUUCAAAUUUUCAACUUAAAUCCAAGAGUAUUUCAUUCUAGGAUUCCAAAAACAUCAAAUUUAUGAGAAAAGGACUUGAUUUAGUUUACCUAUUAAACUUCAAGCUUCAAAAUCUCAAUUUUCCCCCUUUCUUUUCUUUCCCUUUUCUUCCCCUGUUUUCGUCUCUUUCUCUGUUUCUUUUCUGUUCUUCUUCUCUUUUUCUGUUCUUUUAUUUCAUUUGUUUUCUUUUA